AUUGAACGCUGGCGGCAGGCCUAACACAUGCAAGUCGAACGGUAACAGGAAACAGCUUGCUGUUUCGCUGACGAGUGGCGGACGGGUGAGUAAUGUCUGGGAAACUGCCUGAUGGAGGGGGAUAACUACUGGAAACGGUAGCUAAUACCGCAUAACGUCGCAAGACCAAAGAGGGGGACCUUCGGGCCUCUUGCCAUCAGAUGUGCCCAGAUGGGAUUAGCUAGUAGGUGGGGUAACGGCUCACCUAGGCGACGAUCCCUAGCUGGUCUGAGAGGAUGACCAGCCACACAGGAACUGAGACACGGUCCAGACUCCUACGGGAGGCAGCAGUGGGGAAUAUUGCACAAUGGGCGCAAGCCUGAUGCAGCCAUGCCGCGUGUAUGAAGAAGGCCUUCGGGUUGUAAAGUACUUUCAGCGGGGGGGAAGGGAGUAAAGUUAAUACCUUUGCUCAUUGACGUUACCCGCAGAAGAAGCACCGGCUAACUCCGUGCCAGCCGCCGCAGUAA
rnacentral:rRNA from 1 species